rnacentral:piRNA from 1 species
GGAGGACUCAAACUAUAGGUACCAGGAU